UACAACCCUAAUCGUUUGCCGAACCUCUUCCUUUCUCUUUCUCUUGAGUUUUUCUUCUGCAGCAGAAAUCAUCGAGCCAUAACUUUGAUCUGCUAUUCAAUCCCGCUAAUCCAGUUACCAAAAAUAUGGUUAUUCUCUCUAUCAAUUAAGCCAUAAUUCGGUUUUCCAUUUGAUCAAUUUUGAGUAUAAUGGCUUGAAUUGAUUUGGUGUUAGGUUUGAUUUGGGGGUUUCUGAAUUGAAGUAUGAACUGAAAAGGAUUUAGGGUUUAUUCGACUGAGAAUACAAAAAGGAAAGAAGACUGUUGAUGGUGGUGUGGGUCUGUAAUUUAGGUUCAAUUUGAAGUUAUGGCUAAGAGGGAUUGAAGCUGAGAUGCUGAAAACUUAAAACCACUUCCGCCGUCUCUUUUCUCCAUACCCUAAUUCCAUUAUCUUCUUCUCUCUAUUCUACAUAUGCAUUAGUAAUACUUGCUUUGAUUUUGACUUUCAGAAUUUGCUCAUUGGUAUUUUUUUCUUAGGUGUACCACUAAUUUUACACAGGUACUUGCACUGGAACAUAAAUAAUGGAGUAAAAUUUCUUAGUAUUAACUUUGAAGGAAGGCUCUUCAGUUCUCCAGAUGUGGAGAAAUUGCAUAAGAUUUUCUAGCUCUAUGCAUAGUCAAGAUUUUAGAAACUUGCUCGCCGGCAUCAUUGCAAUUGAUGGAAACACUUCUUAUCAUUAGGUAUGUUUUUUGAAAAGGAAAAAGAAUUGCACAAGUAAGUUGGCAGCGCACUUUGAUUUUGGUGGUCCAUUAGUUUUUGGUCCAUAUGAAACAAUGGGUGGUGGCUGAUGAGAAAUUGGCUUUAUGUGAAAGAUUAAGAACUUUGUUUUGGUUGUACGCGACUUUUUCAAGCUUACUGCAUGCUGGAACGGGUGAAGGGGCAUUGGUGCGGCUCCGCUAAUUGCUAGCAUUUUGAAGUCCUUGGGUGUACUUCCUUAUGGCGGGCGAGCGACUUGAUUGACCGUUGUGCUGAUGCGUUAAUUGUGAAAUGUAGUUUUUGUAGCCUCUCAAUGGAUUCAUGUGAGAAGUACCUCUGAAUGGUGUUGAGACGCACAGGGAAUAAGGGCAUUUGGUGUUGUUGGUUUGGUGAUUGAAGUAGUAAGAAAAAGCUGGAAUUGUUUGAACUGCUACUGAGUUUAUGAUGAGUUGGUGGUACUGAGUUGAAUUGCAGCAAGGAGGUGAUGGUUGUUUACAGUGAAGAUUGAAAUGAUUGCAGGUGGUUUGCAAUUACAGCAAUGAUUGCAUGUGGUUUUUCAUUGAAAUGAUUGCGGGUGGUUUGUGAUGUAAAAGCUGGCUGCAGAUAGUUGAGUUGCAGUUGAUAGUGGUACUGUGCUUAGAGCUGAAAUGCAGAGAAGGUUGGAUGUGUGUUGGCCUGUGUUUGAAUGGAGUUACAAGUAAAUGAGCACGGCAGGUGAUUGAAGCUGCAGUUUGUUGUAGUGGGUAUGUGGUGUUUGAGUCUGCAAUGGAAAGAAGGGAAUGAAUAUGUGCUUGACAUGUGUUAUUGCGGAAGAUAUAACUGAUGUAUAAAGGAAAGAAGAGAAUGGCUGGAAUGGUGGAGCUAUUGUGUGCAGUUAUCAUGGAAUGGGGCGAGGCGAAACCGAGCUACACCAAAUCAAGAAUCCGAAGCAUGCAUCAGGACAGAGCAAGGCAAAGCGGUUUGGAGAUCCGCCCGGUGCGUAGCACGGGCACAAAAUCUAGUCGUUAUAAAUUUCUACAGAAAAUUAGUGAAUAAUUAGCCAGCGUUAGUACACCUUUUUUUUUUUUUUUUUUUU